CGAGUUGUAAUUUGCAGAGGAUGCUUUUGGUGCGGUGCCUUCCAAGUUCCCUAGAACGGGACGCCAGAGAGGGUGAGAGCCCCGUACAGUUGGACACCAAGCCUUUGUAAAGCUCCUUCGACGAGUCGAGUAGUUUGGGAAUGCUGCUCAAAAUGGGAGGUAUAUUUCUUCUAAAGCUAAAUACCGGCCAGAGACCGAUAGCGCACAAGUAGAGUGAUCGAAAGAUGAAAAGCACUUUGAAAAGAGGGUUAAACAGCACGUGAAAUUGUUAAAAGGGAAGCGCUUGUGACCAGACUUGCGUCCGGUGAAUCACCCAGCUCUCGCGGCUGGGGCACUUCGCCGGCUCAGGCCAGCAUCAGCUCGCUGUCGGGGACAAAAGCUUCAGGAACGUAGCUCUCUUCGGGGAGUGUUAUAGCCUGUUGCACAAUACCCUUCGGCGGGCUGAGGUACGCGCUCCGCAAGGAUGCUGGCAUAAUGGUCAUCAGCGACCCGUCUUGAAACAC
rnacentral:rRNA from 1 species